UUGUCUCAAAGAUUAAGCCAUGCAUGUCUCAGUACAAGCCGAAUUAAGGUGAAACCGCGAAAGGCUCAUUAAAUCAGUUAUGGUUCCUUAGAUCGUACCCACAUUUACUUGGAUAACUGUGGUAAUUCUAGAGCUAAUACAUGCAAACAGAGCUCCAACCGGAAACGGAAGGAGCGCUUUUAUUAGAUCAAAACCAAUCGGUGGCGAAAUCCGUCAUCGUACAACUUGGUGACUCUGAAUAACUUUACGCUGAUCGCACGGUCUCGCACCGGCGACGCAUCUUUCAAAUGUCUGCCUUAUCAACUGUCGAUGGUAGGUUCUGCGCCUACCAUGGUUGUAACGGGUAACGGGGAAUCAGGGUUCGAUUCCGGAGAGGGAGCCUGAGAAACGGCUACCACAUCCAAGGAAGGCAGCAGGCGCGCAAAUUACCCACUCCCGGCACGGGGAGGUAGUGACGAAAAAUAACGAUACGGGACUCAUCCGAGGCCCCGUAAUCGGAAUGAGUACACUCUAAACCCUUUAACGAGGAUCAAUUGGAGGG
rnacentral:rRNA from 3 species